rnacentral:lncRNA from 1 species
GUGCUUCUCCCAACUUCUCCUCUAGCUUCCUUCCAAUGGUGAAGGCCUUCUGAGCUGAGAGGAUACUCCACACAUUCCCAACAUCACUAAACACUACAAUUCCACUAAAUUCCACCUACAUCCUCUGCAUCUUCAUUCAUGUCCGCUGCACCACUCUGCCAAUCAACUUGCCUGCUGUUUGAAUUUGUAUUAUGCAAGAUCUAGGCCUGGGCAAGCUUACAUCACUUUAACCACCCG